rnacentral:lncRNA from 1 species
GGGUGGCAAAGGGUGGAAGGCUGCCAUGUGGCCCCCUCUAUCCAGGCAUGGCUUCGCCCCGGGGAUCACUGUAAGUCCUCUGAGCAGGACCCCCUUUUCCCGGCACCCCUGGGGGGGGUCCACGUCUCUUUCUUCCUGCUGGGACUCACCUGGGGUACGCUGACCUUCCUUUCCUUUGGCGUCAAAGAGCCCCCCUUCCUCUUCAAAACAAGCAUUGCCAGAGAAUCUCUUACUACAGGUGCCAGCACCAUGUCUAGGGACUUUUUCCAACUUGAUUCUAAUUUCCCAGAGUGCCUGGCAGCUCGAGUGUUAGGCUUUUCACUCGUCUCUUUUGUUCACCACCCAGAGGAGCUUCCUGUUUCAGCUGUAAACGACAACAUUGAACGCACGCCCAUGAAUUUUUGCCUAGAACAUUCUGAAGUCUACGUGCGGUCGUGGUUUAGGAUUGAGUAAACGGGUCUAGAAGCAGACUGCCUGGCUUGGAACUUGGUUCAAUCGCUUACCAGCUAUGGAAUCUUGGGAAGUAAGUAGACCUUCUGGGUUUCAGUUUUCCCAUCUGUGUAGUGGGAGUAUUCACUGUAAUUAACCCUAUCAAAGUCGUUUUGUGGUUUAAAUGAGUUAACAACAACUUCUAGAACAGAGCCCAGAAUAAGGUGUGAGCUCAUUAAAUAUUGGUUACAUUGUUGCUCUUGACCAAGAGAAUGAGCUUUUUGUGCUUAGCUUCUCAGACUUUUCCCUCUGUAUUUAUCGAUCAUUCUUUGCUUUCUACCUCUGGUCAUUUGCCCAUCACAUAGGAGACACCACUCUCUCUCAUAGUUUAUUCUAUUUUUAAAAAUCUUUAUUCUUAUGAUGUUUUUGCAAUCCUUACCAAAAUACCAACAGCAUUUUUCACAGAACCAGAACAAAUAACGCUAGAGUUUGGAUGGAACCACGAAAGACCCUGGAUAGGCAAGACAGUCUUGAAAAACAAGAGCAAAGUUGGAAGGAGCAAAACCCCAGAUUUCAAGGUAUGCUAAAGUUGUAGUUGUGGUAAUUGGGGCGCAUGGCUGGCUCGGUCAGUAGAGCACGUGACUCUUGAUCUGCGGGUUGUAAAUUCGAGCCCCACGUUGAGUGUAGAGAUUACUUAAAAAAAAAAAUUGUAAAAAAAAAAACCCCACCAAAGUUACAGUAAUCAAAACUGUAUGGUCCUGGCACAAAAAUGAACACAUAAAUCAAUGGACCAGGACAGAGAGCCCAGAAAUAAAC